UACAGAGGUGGCAAGCGUUGUUCGGAAUUACUGGGCGUAAAGCGUGCGCAGGCGGUUCUGUAAGUCAGAUGUGAAAGCCCCGGGCUUAACCUGGGAAUGGCAUUUGGGACUGCAAGGCUUGAGUGCGGCAGAGGAGACUGGAAUUCCUGGUGUAGCAGUGAAAUGCGUAGAUAUCAGGAGGAAUACCGAUGGCGAAGGCAGGUCUCUGGGCUGACACUGACGCUCAUGCACGAAAGCGUGGGGAGCAAACAGG
rnacentral:rRNA from 1 species